rnacentral:rRNA from 1 species
GAUGAACGCUGGCGGCGUGCCUAAUACAUGCAAGUCGAGCGAACGGACGAGAAGCUUGCUUCUCUGAUGUUAGCGGCGGACGGGUGAGUAACACGUGGAUAACCUACCUAUAAGACUGGGAUAACUUCGGGAAACCGGAGCUAAUACCGGAUAAUAUUUUGAACCGCAUGGUUCAAAAGUGAAAGACGGUCUUGCUGUCACUUAUAGAUGGAUCCGCGCUGCAUUAGCUAGUUGGUAAGGUAACGGCUUACCAAGGCAACGAUGCAUAGCCGACCUGAGAGGGUGAUCGGCCACACGGGAACUGAGACACGGUCCAGAGUCCUACGGGAGGCAGCAGUAGGGAAUCUGCCGCAAUGGGCGAAAGCCUGACGGAGCAACGCCGCGUGAGUGAUGAAGGUCUUCGGAUCGUAAAACUCUGUUAUUAGGGAAGAACAUAUGUGUAAGUAACUGUGCACAUCUUGACGGUACCUAAUCAGAAAGCCACGGCUAACUACGUG